GAGUUUGAUCAUGGCUCAGAGUGAACGCUGGCGGCAGGCCUAACACAUGCAAGUCGAGCGGCAGCGCGGGUAGCAAUACCUGGCGGCGAGCGGCGGACGGGUGAGGAAUACAUCGGAAUCUACCUUGUCGUGGGGGAUAACGUAGGGAAACUUACGCUAAUACCGCAUACGACCGAAAGGUGAAAGUGGGGGACCGCAAGGCCUCACGCGAUUAGAUGAGCCGAUGUCGGAUUAGCUUGUUGGUGAGGUAAUGGCUCACCAAGGCGACGAUCCGUAGCUGGUCUGAGAGGAUGAUCAGCCACACUGGAACUGAGACACGGUCCAGACUCCUACGGGAGGCAGCAGUGGGGAAUAUUGGACAAUGGGCGCAAGCCUGAUCCAGCCAUGCCGCGUGGGUGAAGAAGGCCUCGGUUGUAAG
rnacentral:rRNA from 1 species